rnacentral:lncRNA from 1 species
AUAAGAUUCAAAAUUGUAGAGAGAAAACAUAUUAUUUUCUUGUUGUCCAAAAUUCAAAAAUUAGUUUCUGGAUUAAUUGAAAGAAGGUGCCCACAUAUCGAUGUAGUCUUUACGUUGAAGAAUACCAUAGAAGGCUUGAAAGUUCGAAGCAUCAAAAUUCUUGCAAUUAAAGAAAACGAAAGUUCGCGGAUCAGAGUUAAUUCAAGGUUGAUCGUUGAACUUAGGUAAAAGAUUCGAAUCCUUUAAUUUUGUUAUAACAUACACGUGAACAUCUAGACGAUCUUGCUUAUUGAAUUAAAAAAAAUUUUAAUUUUUGAUUAAUUCAACUUCCGCAUUCCAACACAAAGGAGUCACAAGGUUGCACUUAUCGUUUUUCAAUAACAUACAAAAGCAAGAAUCUUAUGAAUGCACAUUGGAACUCCCACUGUUGUAUCAAUUAUUAAUGUUUUUCUUUGUGACAAUUUGGUCGGUCUACUUUAGUGAUGACAAUUUACCUUGCUCCGCCCCGCCCCGCAUGGGGCAAAAAAAUCCGCCCCGUGCCCCGGGCAUAGAUGGUCGCCCCGUCGCGGGGCGCGGAUGCCCCGCCCCAAACCCGCCCCGUGAAUUAUUUUUUUUUUUUUUAAUACUUGGAAAUAUGAAGAUAGAAA